GGUAUGUUUCUCCACUCCACCCAUCCAUUUGCAACCCCCACCCCAGCAAUUUUUUUCUAUUUUCAUAGAAUGUCAAAUUACUUGAAUAUUAAAAGAUCCCUGAAUUUUAUAUCCUGGCAUACACUUUGACCAGUUUAUUAAUGAACCAGACAUUGCUUUGUGGGCAAUUGUUAACAACCCCAAUCCCAAACACAUAAAUGAUUCAUACUGUACAAUAUUCUAUAUACAGUUCUGUUCAAAUUCACAGAGUUGCACUUUACUCAGGUGAUUGUUAAGGCCAAUGGGCCUAAUGUUAUUAUUUUUGUUUUGUUUCAGAUAUUUUAAAUUAUAUUUUAAUUUCAAAACAAUGAUGUUAUUUAAUUUUUUGUUAUUAAAUGUUAUUAAAUUUUUGACAAGGUAAAUAAUUAACAAGUCAAUCUUGAAAUUCACAAAGUGGUUUGUUUAAAUUCAGGGCUGGAUUUUACAAAAGAACUUAAGACUUACUACCAAAUUAAUGAAUCUUUAUUAAUCACAAACUAAUCAAUGUUUUAUUGUAAUAUUUGUUCAAUAUUAUUAUGGAAAUCAAAAUAGUUGUAAAUAAAUGGUUUGAUAUAAAUUUUGUUCAUUAAAGACCGUUCCAAGAGACUGAAAAUAUUUACGAUUUUGUCGAAAGUUCUUUUGUUAAACGCAGUCCAGACCUUUGUUAUUUUGUGACCUGUAAUUAGUUAUCACAAUUCCUGCUUUGAAGAAUUUUUCUCAGUGGUUUAAACAAAAAUUUUUGUUUCAUUAAUGUUAGACAAUGGUGCUAUGUUAUUUGAUAUAAUAUGAUAUAUCAAUUCUUCCGCUCUUGAAGUCUUUUUAAGGAUAUCUUUCAGAGGAAGCUGUUCCAUUUUUUUUUAAUUGAAAGAUAUUUAUACACAUUUUAACUUGAUCUUAACCAGAAUAUUUUCCUGACCUAGGAAUGUUUUGGAAUGCAGAAACUUAAACCUGUCCAUGUCCCAUCGCUUAAUACAUGUACAUGUUGUUACUGUGUGUUUACUUGUUAUCCAUGUGUAGACUGACUUUACACAAUUUUUGCCAUUUUUAGAUGUCUAUACAUACAUGUAUAUUUAUCAUUUUCUUUAGAUCUGAUUUUGAUUGAUUGGUGCUUUCAGAGAAGAGUUUAUUUGGUCUGUGGCUGUGUUCUUUCCUUUAUAAUAGGAGUGCCUCUGUGCAUAUUAACUUUACUUAUAAAUGUAAAUAUUGUUGAAUACUGAAAAUGUAAGUUUGGGAAGCAGAUGUUUUUAAUACAAAAGAACUAUAUAUGAUAUAAUUUAAAUUUGGCCCCCUAUAAUUUGUCAUUUUUUAAAGUGUUUUGGAUACAUUAAAAUGUCAUGUUAAUUUUUAGAAGAGUUGAUAUAAAAUAUAUUUUUCACCUAUCUGUUUGAUUUACUUGCACUCACUGGCAGUUUAUGACGUCAGAAGUGUCGCUAUUUCUAUAAUUCAAUCAAAAUCAGUCAAAAUUUUACAUUUUUCUCAUCUUUUUACGAAUGGGAAAUAUAGAGCGCAUGCUUCAACAAGGAAAUUUUGCUCUAUUUAGGCCCAUAUAAUAUAAAGUCCUUUAGAUAAACUUUGUUGCAUAGUCAAUAGUGACAUUUAUACCCCAUUAAAAAAAAACGGUUUAGUGUGUGUCAUUUUGUCUGACCAAUAAUGCGAGUCAAUUGCUUGACAGUUUUCAAACUCCAUUUAAAGGUUGGUCAUGAUUAGUAGUAGAUGACUAUUAUUGAAGUUAAGGUCAAAUGUCACCAAGCCUCUUUUAUGCACUUCUGUCCAAUAUUGUCUUUUCGAUUUUAAAAUACAAUAUGUUUUUCUGUAUGUACUUUAAACGGGCAGAUACAUGUACUCCUCAUGACCAGCACUUUCCAGUGUGCAAUGAAUUAAACACUAUUUAGUUAUAGAGGUGUAUUUUGCCUACAAAGUGUAUUCAAAUCUGUUGAUUUUUCUCUACUUUUACUAAAUACAAUACUGUAGAAGGAAAAACCCAAAAUCCAAAGUCUUGUUUAAAUGUUGUACCUUUCAUUGUCAUUUAAGAUCUUGUUUUUACUGUUGUUCCUUUCUUUGUUAUAAAACAUGUUACGUGAAGAAUGAAUAAAUUUUUAGUGUUCAUG
rnacentral:sRNA from 1 species